rnacentral:rRNA from 1 species
UACGGAGGGGGCUAGCGUUGUUCGGAAUCACUGGGCGUAAAGCGCACGUAGGCGGACUUUCAAGUCAGGGGUGAAAUCCCGGGGCUCAACCUCGGAAUUGCCUUUGAUACUGUAGGUCUCGAGUCCGGAAGAGGUGGGUGGAAUUCCUAGUGUAGAGGUGAAAUUCGUAGAUAUUAGGAAGAACACCGGUGGCGAAGGCGGCAUCCUGGACCGGCAUUGACGCUGAGGCGCGAAAGCUAGGGGAGCAAACGGG